GACGAACCGUCCGAACGUUAUUCGGAAUCACUGGGCUUAAAGGGUGCGUAGGCGGCGCGGAAAGUUGGGUGUGAAAUCCCUCGGCUCAACCGAGGAACUGCGCCCAAUACUACCGUGCUCGAGGGAGAUAGAGGUGAGCGGAACUUAGGGUGGAGCGGUGAAAUGCGUUGAUAUCCUAAGGAACACCGGUGGCGAAAGCGGCGCGCUGGACCCCAUCUGACGCUGAGGCGCGAAAGCCAGGGGAGCAAACGGG
rnacentral:rRNA from 1 species